GCACUGAUUCACCUUCCCUUUCCCAUGGAGAAUUCCCAAAAGUGAAUCUCUCAGUCAGUGUGUGUGAGGCGUCCUAGCAUCACUGCACAGAGCCCAAGUAGGUUAUGUCUGGAGUAAAGCAGGGUUUGCCCUGGGCAUGGCUGGGCAGGUUCAAGGCCAAGACCAGGUGCCUGUGGCUCUGGUGAGGAUGCUGGGUUGUGCAGGUCAUGUGGGAUCCUGUGGGAUCGAGUGUCAGGCCUGGGUUCACACCAGAGUCAGCAACAGUGGAGUCUUGAGUGGCCAGCCUCCUGCUGCCCCUCUGAGGGGAUGCCCCAGAGGGCUAGGGCUCCCCCUAGGCCACCUCUGCAAGGUCCCCAGCAUCAUUUCCCCACCCUGGACCAAGCCUUACAUGUGGACCUUCAGAGACACACACCUAAACCACAGCUGGUGGGAGAGAAGCUCACCAUUGGAAGUCAACAGACCACACAAUCCAUAAGUGCAAUGGAGAAAACAGCUUGAGGACUGAAGAAAUGAAAAGUGCAAGCAAAUAACAUUUAUUAGAUUUUUUUUGAAAUUAACCUGAGCAGAAGGCAGAAAUCAUCAUUCUGAGCAAAGAUCCUGUAUCCAGGGAGAUCAGCAAAGCCAUGACCACCACUCAAAGUGGAGUGGAGCAACUCAACAGGAGCUGGUAGGAGCUGAGUCAUGGUGACUGUGCUCUCCUGGCUCCCUACCCCCAGUGGAAGGCUCAUCAAGGAAGGACCUUGUCUACCCGGUUCAGGCUGCAGUGAGCAAGGCAGUGCUGGCUUCAUGGAGGAUACUAACGGGGAUACCAACUUUAACAUCGAGUGAGACCUGAAAUUAUUCAAGUUCCAUUAUUGCAAUUCCUGGAGGUUGGUUUGGAAAUCAGUCUCACAAGUCCUUGGUCUUUCUAGACAUGCUGUGGCAGGCAAUCAGCUGGCAUGACCUCCCACCACUCCCGCCAGUCUAGUUGUGUCUCUGAGUUGACAAGACUACUGUGUUUACCUCUUAUCAUCAGUCUUAUCACCUCAUGUUGCUGUUAUGGAUGUAUCUGCACCUUCUCUAUAGACCUGAUUAUAAAUAUUACCAU